rnacentral:rRNA from 1 species
UGCUUAACACAUGCAAGUCGAGCGAAGCGAUUUCAAGGAAGUUUUCGGACGGAAUUGAAAUUGACUUAGCGGCGGACGGGUGAGUAACGCGUGGGUAACCUGCCUCAUACAGGGGGAUAACAGUUGGAAACGACUGCUAAUACCGCAUAAGCACACAGUGCCGCAUGGUACGGUGUGAAAAAUUCCGGUGGUAUGAGAUGGACCCGCGUCUGAUUAGGUAGUUGGUGAGGUAACGGCCCACCAAGCCGACGAUCAGUAGCCGACCUGAGAGGGUGACCGGCCACAUUGGGACUGAGACACGGCCCAAACUCCUACGGGAGGCAGCAGUGGGGAAUAUUGGACAAUGGGGGAAACCCUGAUCCAGCGACGCCGCGUGAGUGA